UGGUGGAGUGAUUUGUCUGGUUAAUUCCGUUAACGAACGAGACCUCGACCUGCUAAAUAGUUUGGCGAACUUUUAGUUCGUACCGACUUCUUAGAGGGACUAUCGGUUCUUAACCGAAGGAAGUUCGAGGCAAUAACA
rnacentral:rRNA from 1 species